AGCGAACGCUGGCGGCAGGCUUAACACAUGCAAGUCGAACGCCCCGCAAGGGGAGUGGCAGACGGGUGAGUAACACGUGGGAACGUACCCUUUGGUUCGGAAUAACUUGGGGAAACUCAAGCUAAUACCGGAUAAGCCCUUAUGGGGAAAGGUUACUGCCGAAGGAUCGGCCCGCGUCUGAUUAGCUAGUUGGUGAGGUAAUGGCUCACCAAGGCGACGAUCAGUAGCUGGUCUGAGAGGAUGAUCAGCCACACUGGGACUGAGACACGGCCCAGACUCCUACGGGAGGCAGCAGUGGGGAAUAUUGGACAAUGGGGGCAACCCUGAUCCAGCCAUGCCGCGUGAGUGAUGAAGGCCUUAGGGUUGUAAAGCUCUUUUACCCGGGACGAUAAUGACGGUACCGGGAGAAUAAGCCCCGGCUAACUUCGUGCCAGCCGCCGCAGUAA
rnacentral:rRNA from 1 species